rnacentral:rRNA from 1 species
AGGUGCGAUGGCCGUCGUCAGUUCGUACUGUGAAGCAUCCUGUUAAGUCAGGCAACGAGCGAGACCCACGCCAACAGUUGCCAGCUCGUCCUCCGGGAUGGAGGGGACACUGUUGGGACCGCCUCUGCUAAAGAGGAGGAAGGAAUGGGCAACGGUAGGUCAGCAUGCCCCGAAUUAUCUGGGCUACACGCGGGCUACAAUGGGUGGGACAAUGGGUAUCGACACCGAAAGGUGAAGGCAAUCUCCUAAACCCAUCCUUAGUUCGGAUUGUGGGCUGCAACUCGCCCACAUGAAGCUGGAAUCUGUAGUAAUCGUGUUUCAAAAUGGCACGGUGAAUAUGUCCCUGCUCCUU